GGUGAACGCUGGCGGCGUGCCUAAUACAUGCAGGUCGAGCGAACAGACGAGGAGCUUGCUCCUCUGACGUUAGCGGCGGACGGGUGAGUAACACGUGGAUAACCUACCUAUAAGACUGGGAUAACUUCGGGAAACCGGAGCUAAUACCGGAUAAUAUAUUGAACCGCAUGGUUCAAUAGUGAAAGACGGUUUUGCUGUCACUUAUAGAUGGAUCCGCGCCGCAUUAGCUAGUUGGUAAGGUAACGGCUUACCAAGGCAACGAUGCGUAGCCGACCUGAGAGGGUGAUCGGCCGCACUGGAACUGAGACACGGUCCAGACUCCUACGGGAGGCAGCAGUAGGGAAUCUUCCGCAAUGGGCGGAAGCCUGACGGAGCAACGCCGCGUGAGUGAUGAAGGUCUUCGGAUCGUAAAACUCUGUUAUUAGGGAAGAACAAAUGUGUAAGUAACUAUGCACGUCUUGACGGUACCUAAUCAGAAAGCCACGGCUAACUACGUG
rnacentral:rRNA from 1 species